AUACAUUUUUGAGCACCUUUCAAUCUAUCACCCAAAAGUGUCAGAUGGAUUCCACCUACUAAUGACCAGUUAUUCUAUGAGAUGAUCUCAAAGAUUAUAGAAUGGAUAAUAAAGGAGUAGCAAAAGCCUGUCACACAAUGAAUACUUGAAGAACUACCUGGUGUCUGUUUAAUAAAAGGUAUCACCCUGAAUGGCCAUGAGAUGUGCAUGAAUCACCCUGGAGAGAGGAGCACCUGUACAAAUGUACUGUUCAAGCUCUUAGUUCUGAACUGCCUUUUUUGGACCCAUUCUUUCUGUUUCUCUUCUACUUUUGACCCUCUGAGCUGGCAAGUUUGAUGUCCUUCUUCUGUUUCCUAUUUUAGGUCUGGGCUUGAUGUUCACCAGUUUUUCCUUAGCUCCGACUGUGGCUCCUCUCAGCGGACUCUGAUCCUGCUCUCUGCAGGGCUGCGUCUGCCCAUCCCAGCACAUCAAUAAACAGCAGAGGGAAACUACCACCUUGGAGGGAGCCAGGCAGUUUCUGCUGGGCGGGCUGGGCCGGAGCAUGGAAGCAGCUUUUUCCAUCCCACACUGGAAACCAUCCAGCACCCCCGGCCCUCCUUAGAGAGGAGCCAGAUUCCUUUCCCCAGGAAGACACUAUAGUCCUAUCUGUGUCCUCCGUGGUCAUUGCCCUUCAGUCACAGUAAGGAAGAACAAAUUACCUGUUUUCUGCAUGUUCCUCUGACAUAAACCACCACAGAGUAAAUAUGAAAGGUUCUGGAUGAUCUGGUGUCAGCUUUUAUUAAAAUUCCACAUACUUGGCAUUUCUUAGCUAUCUUGGUUGACUCCUUGUUCCACCCUUUACUAGUUGUGUGACCUUGAAAAAGUGACUUACCUCCCCAUAUUCUCAGUUUCCCUAUCUGUCAAGUGAAGGUAAAAGCACCAAACUGGUAGAGGUAUUUUGAGAAUUCUGAGUUCUGAGUGGGAGGGCGCUAAGCCACUGCCGGUGAGAGUGGUUUUUCCAUUGCGGUCUCCUCCUUCAGUCCCUCUUGGCUUCUUCUCUCCUUCCCCUCCUGCUUCUAGUCUAGGCUUCUGGCAAUUUUGACACAACAAAAGUGGGAUUCCACUUCAUUCCUGACUUCAGGGCUUUUUUUUACUUCAUUAUUGCAUAAUUGUUCUUAAGCCUGUUCUUUACAUAAAUACAAAAAGGAGAAAGUGAAAUCGUAGAGAAACUGAUUUGAAGGAAUUGGCACUAUUUGAUCCUCCUGUUAGGACAUCUGAAUACCCCAAGCUCCUGUUCUUGAGGCUGCUGUAUCAUAUUCUUAAAAGCUAUGCACGCAUUCUGCUUUGGGUUUGUCCCUCAGCCUCAUUCUUCACCACUUACUUGCUGGGGCCCUCCUGCCCCACGGGAAGGUGAGCUCAGGCUUUGCUAGGGGCUCAGAGGAAAAGACACGACAAAGUCCUGCUUUUAUUUUCCUUGUCUAAAAUCAUGUUUUGCACUGCUCUUUGAACAAAAAUCAGGACUCCAGAGAUGCCCUGUUAUUUUUCUUUCAGCAAGUUUCUAAUUUGCUGAGGAGUAAGCUUGUAAUGAAAAGAAACCAGAACUCCCUAAGGCAGCUCUUCCCUCACUAUCAUUUCAAGGCAGGGGCUCCUUAGAGCAGAUCCCAAGAACCCCAUCCUUUCUAUGAAAUAGGACUGCUAACUUGCCACCCAUUAAGUGUGAUUUUUAAAAAUAUGUUUUUGGGCCGGGCGCAGUGGCUCACAUUUGUAAUCCCAGCACUUUAAGAGGCUGAGGUGGGCGGAUCACGAGGUCAGGAGAUCAAGACCAGCCUGGUCAACAUCAACAGACAGGUGAAACCCUGUCUCAACUAAAAAUACACACACACACACACACACACACACACACACACACACACAAAAUUAGCCAGGUAAGCUGACAGGCACCUAUAAUCCCAGCUACUCGGGAGACUGAGGCGGGAGAAUUGCUUGAACCUGGGAGGCGGAGGUUGCUGUGAGCUGAGACCACGCCAUUGCACUCCAGCCUGGGUAAUAUAUUUGUUUUAUAUAUAUAUAUAUAUAUGUUAAAUAUAUAGCAAUAUAUUUAUAUAUUAUAUUUAAUAUAUAUAAUUAAUAUAUUAAUAUAUCUUAAAUAAUGUUAUAUAUUUGUUAAAUGUGUGUGUGUGUGUGUGUAUAUAUAUAUAUAUAUAUAUUUUUUUUUUUGAGAUGGAGUUUUGCAGUUGUUACCCAGACUGGAGUGCAAUGGCAUGAUCUCGGCUGACCACAACCUCCACCUCCUGGGUUCAAGCAAUUCUCCUGCCUCAGCCACCCGAGUAGCUGGGACUACAGGCGCGCACCACCAUGCCCAGCUAAUUUUUGUUUUUAGUAGAGACGGGGUUUCAUCUUGUUGACCAGGAUGAUCUCAAUCUCUUGACCUCGUGAUCCACCCGGCUUGGCCUCCCAAAGUGCUGGGAUUAUAGGCGUGAGCCACCGCGCCCGGCCAUAUAAAAAUAUUUUUUAAAAACUUUACUUGGUUAAUAGAGACAGAAACCUUCUCUCCAAGAUGUUUCCUAUGAUUAGAUCUAGAAUAGACAUUAUUUGGUCUAUGUUUGAAUUGAA
ensembl:lncRNA